UACGUAGGGGGCGAGCGUUGUCCGAAGUUACUGGGCGUAAAGCGCGCGUAGGCGGUCAUUUAAGUCUGAGGUGAAAGGUUCAGCGCUCAACGUGAACAGUGCCUUGGAUACUGGGUGACUUGAGUUCGGGAGGGGGCAGUGGAAUUCCAGGUGUAGCGGUGAAAUUCGUAGAUAUUGGGAAGAACACCGGUGGCGAAGGCGGCGACCUGGUCCGUGACUGACGCUGAGGCGCGAAAGCGUGGGGAGCAAACAGG
rnacentral:rRNA from 1 species